UCCUACGGGAGGCAGCAGUGGGGGAUAUUGCACAAUGGGCGCAAGCCUGAUGCAGGGACGCCGCGUGAGGGAAGAAGGUGUUCGGAUUGUAAACCUCUGUCUUCAGGGACGAUAAUGACGGUACCUGAGGAGGAAGCCACGGCUAACUACGUGCCAGCAGCCGCGGUAAU
rnacentral:rRNA from 1 species